rnacentral:rRNA from 1 species
GAUGAACGCUGGCGGCGUGCCUAAUACAUGCAAGUCGCGCGAAUGGAUUAAGAGCUUGCUCUUAUGAAGUUAGCGGCGGACGGGUGAGUAACACGUGGGUAACCUGCCCAUAAGACUGGGAUACCUCCGGGAAACCGGGGCUAAUACCGGAUAACAUUUUGAACCGCAUGGUUCGAAAUGUAAAGGCGGCUUCGGCUGUCACUUAUGGAUGGACCCGCGUCGCAUUAGCUAGUUGGUGGGGUAACGGCUCACCAAGGCAACGAUGCGUAGCCGACCUGAGAGGGUGAUCGGCCACACUGGGACUGAGACACGGCCCAGACUCCUACGGGAGGCAGCAGUAGGGAAUCUUCCGCAAUGGACGAAAGUCUGACGGAGCAACGCCGCGUGAGUGAUGAAGGCUUUCGGGUCGUAAAACUCUGUUGUUAGGGAAGAACAAGUGCUAGUUGAAUAAGCUGGCACCUUGACGGUACCUAACCAGAAAGCCACGGCUAACUACGUGCCAGCCGCCGCGGUAA